GCGCAUCUGUGCAUGCAGCAUAUCAAUAAGCGGAGGAAAAGAAACUAACAAGGAUUCCCCUAGUAACGGCGAGUGAAGCGGGAAGAGCUCAAAUUUGAAAUCUUAAAGGGUUUCCCUUUACGAAUUGUAGUUUAAAGAAGUGUUUUCUGUUGAGGUUUUGGUAAAAGUUCUUUGGAAUAGGACAUCAUAGAGGGUGAGAAUCCCGUAUUUGACCAUUAUUUUCAACUGUGUGAUACACUUUCAAAGAGUCGGAUUGUUUAGGGAAUGCAGUCCAAAAUGAGUGGUAAAUUUCAUCUAAAGCUAAAUAUUGGCGAGAGACCGAUAGCGAACAAGUACCGCUGAGGGAAAGAUGAAAAGAACUUUGAAAAGAGAGUUAAACAGUACGUGAAAUUGUCAAAAGGGAAGCGUUUGACACCAGUGUUGUUUUUCUGAAAAUCAAUUAAAGAACUGUUUAUGCUAAGUUGUUUAGACUUUAUCAGCUAUCUGUUUAGUUUUGAGCUUUUCUUUAAUGCACUUUUCAGUUAACAAGUCAACAUCAAUUUCUUUUGCUGUAAAAAAGCUUGAGGAAGGUGGCUUGAGAUUCGUCUUAAGUGUUUAUAGCCUCUUGCCUAUGCAGUCGGAGAGAUUGAGGUCUGCAGCGUAGAUCCUUCGGGGCUAAAUGCAUUUGUGCUAAGUUAUAGCAUUUUAUAGACAACUUGUUGACUAUGAUUUGUCUUGUAGCUUACUCGCUUAUGUUAUUUUACCUACGCUUAGGAUGUUGAUAUGCAUGACUGAUAU
rnacentral:rRNA from 1 species